rnacentral:rRNA from 1 species
GUAGGGUCCAAGCGUUAAUCGGAAUUACUGGGCGUAAAGCGUGCGCAGGCGGUUGUGCAAGACCGAUGUGAAAUCCCCGGGCUUAACCUGGGAAUUGCAUUGGUGACUGCACGGCUAGAGUGUGUCAGAGGGGGGUAGAAUUCCACGUGUAGCAGUGAAAUGCGUAGAGAUGUGGAGGAAUACCGAUGGCGAAGGCAGCCCCCUGGGAUAACACUGACGCUCAUGCACGAAAGCGUGGGGGGAGCAGACAGGAUUAGAUACCCUGGUAGUCCACGCCCCUAAACGAUGUCAACUAGUUGUUGGGGGUUCAUUUCCUUAGUAACGUAGCUAACGCGUGAAGUUGACCGCCUGGGGAUACGGUCGCAAGAUUA